rnacentral:rRNA from 1 species
CGGGGGCAUCCGUCCAUUCGUGCAGUCGAGCGGACAGAUGGGAGCUUGCUCCCCUGAUGUUAGCGGCGGACGGGUGAGUAACACGUGGGUAACCUGCCUGUAAGACUGGGAUAACUCCGGGAAACCGGGGCUAAUACCGGAUGCUUGUUUGAACCGCAUGGUUCAGACAUAAAAGGUGGCUUCGGCUACCACUUACAGAUGGACCCGCGGCGCAUUAGCUAGUUGGUGAGGUAACGGCUCACCAAGGCGACGAUGCGUAGCCGACCUGAGAGGGUGAUCGGCCACACUGGGACUGAGACACGGCCCAGACUCCUACGGGAGGCAGCAGUAGGGAAUCUUCCGCAAUGGACGAAAGUCUGACGGAGCAACGCCGCGUGAGUGAUGAAGGUUUUCGGAUCGUAAAGCUCUGUUGUUAGGGAAGAACAAGUGCCGUUCAAAUAGGGCGGCACCUUGACGGUACCUAACCAGAAAGCCACGGCUAACUACGUGCCAGCAGCCGCGGUAAUACGUAGGUGGCAAGCGUUGUCCGGAAUUAUUGGGCGUAAAGGGCUCGCAGGCGGUUUCUUAAGUCUGAUGUGAAAGCCCCCGGCUCAACCGGGGAGGGUCAUUGGAAACUGGGGAACUUGAGUGCAGAAGAGGAGAGUGGAAUUCCACGUGUAGCGGUGAAAUGCGUAGAGAUGUGGAGGAACACCAGUGGCGAAGGCGACUCUCUGGUCUGUAACUGACGCUGAGGAGCGAAAGCGUGGGGAGCGAACAGGAUUAGAUACCCUGGUAGUCCACGCCGUAAACGAUGAGUGCUA